rnacentral:rRNA from 1 species
ACGGGGUGCACAGGCGCGAAACCUCCGCAAUACACGAAAGUGUGACGGGGUUACCCAAAGUGUUCAAUUUUGAACUGUGGUAGGUGAGUAAUGUUCCCUACUAGAAAGGAGAGGGCAAGGCUGGUGCCAGCCGCCGCGGUAAAACCAGCUCUUCAAGUGGUCGGGAUAAUUAUUGGGCUUAAAGUGUCCGUAGCCGGUUUAGUAAGUUCCUGGUAAAAUCGGGUAGCUUAACUAUCUAUAUGCUAGGAAUACUACUAUACUAGAGGGCGGGAGAGGUCUGAGGUACUACAGGGGUAGGGGUGAAAUCUUAUAAUCCUUGUUGGACCACCAGUGGCGAAGGCGUCAGACUGGAACGCGCCUGACGGUGAGGGACGAAAGCCAGGGGAGCGAACCGGAUUAGAUACCCGGGUAGUCCUGGCCGUAAACGAUGCAUACUAGGUGAUGGCACGGCCAUGAGCCGUGUCAGUGCCGUAGGGAAACCGUUAAGUGUGCCGCCUGGGAAGUACGGUCGCAAGGCUAAAACUUAAAGGAAUUGGCGGGGGAGCACCACAAGGGGUGAAGCCUGCGGUUCAAUUGGACUCAACGCCGGAAAACUUACCAGGGGAGACAGCAGUAUGACGGUCAGGUUGACGACCUUACCUAACGAGCUGAGAGGAGGUGCAUGGCCGUCGCCAGUUCGUGCCGUGAGGUAUCCUGUUAAGUCAGGCAACGAACGAGAUCCGCACCUUUAUUUGCCACCAAGAAGUCACGACUUCGUUGG